CUACGGGAGGCAGCAGCUAAGAAUCUUCCGCAAUGGGGGCAACCCUGACGGAGCGACGCCGCGUGAACGAGGAAGGCCGAAAGGUUGUAAAGUUCUUUUCUUGGGGAAGAAUAAAGGGAAGAGGGAAUGCUUCUCUGAUGACGGUAACCGAGGAAAAAGCCCCGGCCAAUUACGUGCCAGCAGCCGCGGUAACACGUAAGGGGCGAGCGUUGUUCGGAAUUAUUGGGCGUAAAGGGCGUGUAGGCGGUUUGGUAAGCCUGGUGUAAAAGGCGUACGCUUAACGUACGUAGGUCGCUGGGGACUGUCAGACUAGAGUGUAGGAAGGGGAGCUGGAAUUCCAGGUGUAGGGGUGAAAUCUGUAGAUAUCUGGAAGAACACCGAUGGCGAAGGCAAGCUUCUAGCCAUACACUGACGCUGAGGCGCGAAAGCGUGGGGAGCGAACAGGAUUAGGUACCCUGGUAGUCCACGCUGUAAACGAUGUGCACUAGGUGUUGGUGCGAAUGCAUCAGUGCCGUAGUUAACGCGAUAAGUGCACCGCCUGGGGAGUAUGCUCGCAAGGGUGAAACUCAAAGGAAUUGACGGA
rnacentral:rRNA from 1 species